rnacentral:rRNA from 1 species
GAUGAACGCUGGCGGUAUGCUUAACACAUGCAAGUCGAACGGUCUUUUAGGAGACAGUGGCGGACGGGUGAGUAACGCGUAAGAAUCUACCCUCAGGUCGGGGACAACCACUGGAAACGGUGGCUAAUACCGGAUGUGCCGAGAGGUGAAAGGCUUGCUGCCUGGGGAAGAGCUUGCGUCUGAUUAGCUAGUUGGUAGUGUAAGGGACUACCAAGGCGACGAUCAGUAGCUGGUCUGAGAGGAUGAUCAGCCACACUGGGACUGAGACACGGCCCAGACUCCUACGGGAGGCAGCAGUGGGGAAUUUUCCGCAAUGGGCGAAAGCCUGACGGAGCAAUACCGCGUGAGGGAGGAAGGCUCUUGGGUUGUAAACCUCUUUUCUCAGGGAAGAACAGAAUGACGGUACCUGAGGAAUAAGCAUCGGCUAACUCCGUGCCAGCAGCCGCGGUAAUACGGAGGAUGCAAGCGUUAUCCGGAAUGAUUGGGCGUAAAGAGUCCGUAGGUGGCAUUGAAAGUCUGCUGUUAAAGAGUCUAGCUCAACUAGAUAAAAGCAGUGGAAACUACAAAGCUAGAGUUUGGUCGGGGCAGAAGGAAUUCCUGGUGUAGCGGUGAAAUGCGUAGAUAUCAGGAAGAACACCGGUGGCGAAGGCGUUCUGCUAGGCCGAGACUGACACUGAGGGACGAAAGCUAGGGGAGCGAAUGGGAUUAGAUACCCCAGUAGUCCUAGCCGUAAACGAUGGAUACUAGGCGUAGCUCGUAUCGACCCGAGCUGUGCCGGAGCUAACGCGUUAAGUAUCCCGCCUGGGGAGUACGCAGGCAACUGUGAAACUCAAAGGAAUUGACGGGGGCCCGCACAAGCGGUGGAGUAUGUGGUUUAAUUCGAUGCAACGCGAAGAACCUUACCAAGGCUUGACAUGUCACGAAUCCUGUAGAAAUAUAGGAGUGCCUUAGGGAGCGUGAACACAGGUGGUGCAUGGCUGUCGUCAGCUCGUGUCGUGAGAUGUUGGGUUAAGUCCCGCAACGAGCGCAACCCUCGUUUUUAGUUGCCAGCAUUAAGAUGGGCACUCUAGAGAGACUGCCGGUGACAAACCGGAGGAAGGUGGGGAUGACGUCAAGUCAGCAUGCCCCUUACGUCUUGGGCUACACACGUACUACAAUGCUACGGACAAAGGGCAGCUACACAGCGAUGUGAUGCGAAUCUCAUAAACCGUAGCUCAGUUCAGAUCGAAGGCUGCAACUCGCCUUCGUGAAGGAGGAAUCGCUAGUAAUUGCAGGUCAGCAUACUGCAGUGAAUUCGUUCCCGGGCCUUGUACACACCGCCCGUCACACCAUGGAAGUUGGUCACGCCCGAAGUCGUUACCCCAACCUAUUGGAGGGGGAUGCCUAAGGUAGGACUGAUGACUGGGGUGA